AUACUUUGCCAUUUGGUGUUGAGUAGGAAAAUGAUGAAUCUAGAAGCUGGUUUAAUAAUUCUAUUGAUGAAACUGGAAGCCAUUUUGUUGCCGAAAGAUCAGAUAAACCAAGUUUCUUUAUUGAGGUGCUCAAAUCAAUUACUGAACUUUUAUUUGCUAAAUUCUGCGUGCUACGAUAUUGGUCUGUCAAAACUCUUAAUUAUCGUGAGGGUGAUGAUGCAGGAUAAUCCUCGUGCUUCGCAGGGUCGUAGCCAUCGAUAGAGAUCAAGGUUUCCAGGAGACUUUGGCCGAGAAGCAGCAGCGGGAAGGUCCAGCUAUUGUUGAGAGGAAAGAGUGGUGUUAUGAUUGUACGAUGCCAUUUUUGAGCUCAUACAUUUCUUGAUCUUCCCUGCAAGAUCCAAAUGAGGCUUGCGAUGAAAUUGAACUUUCCCAUUAGAUUAUCCUUACCUUCAUUGCUUAUCCUAUAUUGGCCAUUCGACACUCACCCAGAGGCAUUGCAAUCCCCAGAACUGCACACGAGGUUUAGUUUAUACUAACAGAUGUCUCGAUCAGUUAUUCUCCAGAGUAUGAUGUUGUUGGUAUUUAGAUCCGCUCUUGCAUAUGAUGUUGCUGGUAUUCAGAUCCGUCCUUGCAUAUCUGAGUUCUUAAACUUACGCAUAUGUCGGGUAAGGAGAAGCAGAUUGCAGUGAAUAUAUUAGAGAUAUUCUUGCUUAGGUGAUUUCUUGAUAUCUUUCUUUUAUUUCACAUGCACAUAGCAAAGCAUGAUGAUUUAAUCAAUAAUUAUUGUCUGGUUUAUCUUUGGAGUGCUUCUAUGCAAUUUUUAGGAAUGCCUUCAUAGGACGUCCUAAGUGUUCAAUUUGUGUACUCCACCCGGGAUUAAAGCGCAGAGGCUGCUGGCCCUUGCAUGAUGCAGUACAAACUACUCUAGAAACGGUAGUCCUCCUAUUGUGACAUGUUUUGUUCUGUUUUUCCAAUUCUCGGUACGAAUUUGUGAGGAGCUCGCGUAGUUAAGCGAAGUGUCUUUAGACAUAAUUCUACGACAUUUGAUGUCGUAGGCCUACGGUGGCAGCUAGCACUAAUAGAUGGCCCUAAAUAUUCUCUAACUUUCCCAUGGCUUGAGUUUAUGGUGUUUCAUCCUGGCUACAAAUCGUGUAUAUUUGACAAUGGGUACAAGUAUUUUAUUUUCCUCCGGCCUUUUUGGUUUGAAACAAGAUUCGUGUACUAAUCAUAUAGAAAUUCAGUGAAAAGUACUCAUCAAAAAUUUAGAACAGUAAUAGUUAGAACCAUCACACAAAUUCAGAACAUAAAAUAAUUAAACUCUUGCUUUAAGCACCUGCAAUGUUAAAGGAAAAGGUAUAUGCUCUUCUCUGUUACCUAAACCACCUGCAAUAUUAAGAAGUUCAGUAAAAAAUUCUCAUCAAAAAUGAAAUUUUCUUAGACAUUGCCCUUGUUUGUUCUGCUGAAGUUAAACUGGCUUGUAACAGAGUAGUGUGUAGAUGGGUGUGAUGAUCUUCGUCCGUUGACACGGGCCUGGCCGGGAGUGUCAGCAACUAAAAUUAACUCAUUUAUCCGUGGAAUUGGGAUGACAUGGAGGUAAAAGCAUGAAGAAUGGUAAAGAAAUGGCUUGCAUGAACUGUGCUCUGGGCCACCACCGCAAAAUCUCUGUUUCUGCUACUGAUUGGCCCUUGAUAUUCUUUAUGUGCAGUGAUAAUAGCCUGAUUCGUGUUGACUGUCUUUAAUAUCAUAUCAUAGAAUAACCUAAUAAAAAAAAGCUUCCCGAACCAUGGUUAUUCUACAUCCUCUAAAGGUUUAGCAUUAUGUUCGUGCUGCAAAC